GGAUGUCAGGGCAAUCUGGCUUUAACACCUGUCACCCCUUUCAUUGCCAGGGUUGAUUUGGCUGAUCUGGCUGGCCAGGCUGGUGUCUCCUUCCUCACUCACCACUCUAUGUGAGUCCCUCCCAAAACCAUAUGCUCGAAGACCGUUUCCUCAGUCAAGGGUAUACAAGUAUCUGCAUUCUCCUGCUAGAACCCUCAAACAAGCUCUCAAGGAAGCCAAAGCAGGAGGACUUCAAUGAGGCCAGCCUGGGCUACAUAGUGAGGCCCUGU
rfam:Fukomys damarensis contig78174, whole genome shotgun sequence.